UUAGUAACUGCGAGUGAAGAGGGAAAAGCUCAAAUUUARAAUCUGGCAGCAUUUUGCUGUCCGAGUUGUAACCUAGAGAAGUGUAACCUGUGCUGGACCGUGUAUAAGUUUCCUGGAAUGGAGCAUCACAGAGGGUGAGAAUCCCGUCUUUGACAUGGACUACCAGUGCAUUGUGGUUGUGCUCUCAACGAGUCGAGUUGUUUGGGAAUGCAGCUCUAAAUGGGUGGUAAAUUCCAUCUAAAGCUAAAUAUUGGCGAGAGACCGAUAGCGAACAAGUACCGUGAGGGAAAGAUGAAAAGAACUUUGGAAAGAGAGUUAAACAGUAUGUGAAAUUGUUGAAAGGGAAACGUUUGAAGUCAGUCGCGUUAGCUGGGGAUCAGCCUGACAUUGUUGGGUGCACUUCCUGGUUGACGGGCCAACAUCAGUUUUGACUGCCAGAAAAAGGCCAAGGGAAUGUGGCACCUUUGGGUGUGUUAUAGCCUUUGGUCACAUAUGGUGGUUGGGACUGAGGAACGCAGUGUGCCGAAAGGCCGGGUUUCGACCACGUUCACACUGAGGAUGUUGGCAUAAUGGCUUUAAGCGACCCGUCUUGAAACACGGACCAAGGAGUCUAACAUGCAUGCGAGUGUUUGGGUGGAAAACCCUUACGCGUAAUGAAAGUGAAAGUUGAGAUCCCUGUCGUGGGGAGCAUCGACGCCCGGACCAGAACUUUUGGGACGGAUCUGCGGUAGAGCACGUAUGUUGGGACCCGAAAGAUGGUGAACUAUGCCUGAAUAGGGUGAAGCCAGAGGAAACUCUGGUGGAGGCUCGUAGCGAUUCUGACGUGCAAAUCGAUCGUCAAAUUUGGGUAUAGGGGCGAAA
rnacentral:rRNA from 1 species